rnacentral:tRNA from 1 species
GCGCCCAUAGCUCAGUUGGUAGAGCAGCGGACUUUUAAUCCGUGGGUCCUAGGUUCGAGUCCUAGUGGGCGCACCA